rnacentral:rRNA from 1 species
UACGUAGGGUGCAAGCGUUGUCCGGAAUUAUUGGGCGUAAAGAGCUCGUAGGCGGUUUGUCGCGUCUGCUGUGAAACCCGAGGCUCAACCUCGGGCCUGCAGUGGGUACGGGCAGACUAGAGUGCGGUAGGGGAGAUUGGAAUUCCUGGUGUAGCGGUGGAAUGCGCAGAUAUCAGGAGGAACACCAAUGGCGAAGGCAGGUCUCUGGGCCACUACUGACGCUGAGAAGCGAAAGCAUGGGGAGCGAACAGG